CACCACAUUCGGGUCCGUACCGGGUGGGAACGACGAUGGCACCAGAGCCGCGAACGGGCUUCCGUAGCCCGGAGCCGACGGCGGGUAUCCACCCCCGCUGCUUCCGUGGCUCUGGUGAGGCUUCUCUGGCGCGUACGGCGCGGCGUACGGUGCCGAUGGUGCGCCGUAGGGUGCAGACGGCGCGCCAUAAGGUGCAGCCGGCGCUCCGUACGGUUGCGCUUGGUGUUGGUGGGGCUGGCCGGGUUGGCCUGGCUGGCCUGGCUGCGGCGCGGCGUAGGGUUUGCCUGGUGGAGGCGUGCUGCCGUAGCCGUAGCCGGGGGGCGGGUGUGGGUAUCCAGACAUUUUUAAUUUUGUUUUCUAGUAGAAUAGAAGCUUUUUGAAG
rnacentral:lncRNA from 1 species